rnacentral:lncRNA from 1 species
AAAGAAGGAGGUUUGCCGAACAGCCUCGAAUAUUACGGCGGGAGAAGCGAUCAGUUAAUGGCACUGGAUGCAAUGAGCGUGUGAAGAAUCCAACCUCUCCCGUCACCAGCACUUGCCAGAUCUUCGCUCAGUCAACUCUUCGGAUCUUUGCUGGGAGACCACAGGGUUUUCAACGUCAGCCUCCGGCCACCUCCUCGAUUUUGCCUGAGGCACUGGUUGGAGCCUUCCCCUGUGUGGCUCUCCACGGGGUCAGAACACCUGGGACUCAGUCCGUGAAGCAGGAUCCCACCAGGUGGAGGUGCAGGAGACAGUACUGAUGAGUGAGUACCUGGGAGCAACCCUCAGCCAGGUGUGCGCAGGCCAUUGGUGCACCACCGUAGCUUGUGCUGUCUGCCGGAGCUCCCAAGCGGGAUGGAGCGCCUGGCGAUCAUGGUGAUAAUUGUAUGAAUAAGGCAUUUUUAUUGGUUGCCUUCCUGUCCUCAUCUCCUGUCCCCACUCCUGGAUUCCUCUCCCAAUUCAAUGACUUGCAGUCAACUCCUCGUCUCAAAGUCUGCCUUCUGGGGAGCCCAGCUGUGGGCUGCACAGAUGAGAAAAUCCACCCAAAUGGACUCCAUGGCCAGGAAGUGAGUGAGCCCUUGAUGGAUAGCCAAGGUCCUUGUCUCUGUUAGAGUGGAUUGUGGCAAAAUUGGUGGUUAUCAGUCUGUUUUGAGGGGCCCAUCUCCCCACAAGGAGAAGUGAGCUAGAAGCAAAGACAGAGACCGCUUCAUUUUAGGACAGUUUCCUUCCUCUAUCCACAGCUCAGCAUCAGAUAGAAGCCUGGGGCGUUUAUCUGUUGAGCAUGGGACGCAGCUUGGACAGUGGUUUGCUUUCCUCUCUGAAAUGCACUUUUCCAAGGCCAAAUCGCAGAUAAGCAGCUUCCCCCUGGAGUACCCCUGUUUUAUGCGGGGUAGGGAGGGCCGUGGGUGCGAUUAUGCUGGUCUGGAAGCACACAUUGACUUUAGAUAGUCCACACAGUGCAUGCUCAGUGGAAAAUCGAGAGGUGUUGUGCAUCUUGAGUCACCACCCUCUCUCACCACAGGGUCAAUCAUGAGGGGAGGAAGGGGAGGCAGAGGGAGGAAUGGAACCUGAUGCUGUCGGUGAACCUGAACAUGGACAGAGUGUGGGGGGCUCAGUGGAGUCCACAGAAGCCCCCUCCCAGAAUAAGGAGGCUGCUGGCCGGAGCUGAGUGCAGGGAGGGAGGCAUCUUAUCAGCUCCCGGACCACACUUGCCGUCCUUCCCUCUGGAGGCACCACCCAUUUGCUGUGUGCCAGUAGCAGCAUCAUUGAGACCAGAUUAAAAAUGUCUGUGCCCUUUAAAGGUGGGAUGUUUUAUUUUUUUAUUUGA